rnacentral:rRNA from 1 species
GGUUAAGCGACUAAGCGUACACGGUGGAUGCCCUGGCAGUCAGAGGCGAUGAAGGGCGUGCUAAUCUGCGAUAAGCGCCGGUAAGGUGAUAUGAACCGUUAUAACCGGCGAUACCCGAAUGGGGAAACCCAGUGUGAUUCGUCACACUAUCAUUAACUGAAUCCAUAGGUUAAUGAGGCGAACCGGGGGAACUGAAACAUCUAAGUACCCCGAGGAAAAGAAAUCAACCGAGAUUCCCCCAGUAGCGGCGAGCGAACGGGGAGGAGCCCAGAGCCUGAAUCAGCAUGUGUGUUAGUGGAAGCGUCUGGAAAGGCGCGCGAUACAGGGUGACAGCCCCGUACACAAAAGCGCAUGUGCUGUGAGCUCGAUGAGUAGGGAGGGACACGUGGUAUCCUGUCUGAAUAUGGGGGGACCAUCCUCCAAGGCUAAAUACUCCUGACUGACCGAUAGUGAACCAGUACCGUGAGGGAAAGGCGAAAAGAACCCCGGCGAGGGGAGUGAAAAAGAACCUGAAACCGUGUACGUACAAGCAGUGGGAGCACAGGUUUACCUGUGUGACUGCGUACCUUUUGUAUAAUGGGUCAGCGACUUAUAUUCUGUAGCAAGGUUAACCGAAUAGGGGAGCCGGAGGGAAACCGAGUCUUAACCGGGCGUUAAGUUGCAGGGUAUAGACCCGAAACCCGGUGAUCUAGCCAUGGGCAGGUUGAAGGUUGGGUAACACUAACUGGAGGACCGAACCGACUAAUGUUGAAAAAUUAGCGGAUGACCUGUGGCUGGGGGUGAAAGGCCAAUCAAACCGGGAGAUAGCUGGUUCUCCCCGAAAGCUAUUUAGGUAGCGCCUCGUGAAUUCAUCUCCGGGGGUAGAGCACUGUUUCGGCUAGGGGGUCAUCCCGACUUACCAACCCGAUGCAAACUGCGAAUACCGGAGAAUGUUAUCACGGGAGACACACGGCGGGUGCUAACGUCCGUCGUGAAGAGGGAAACAACCCAGACCGCCAGCUAAGGUCCCAAAGUCAUGGUUAAGUGGGAAACGAUGUGGGAAGGCCCAGACAGCCAGGAUGUUGGCUUAGAAGCAGCCAUCAUUUAAAGAAAGCGUAAUAGCUCACUGGUCGAGUCGGCCUGCGCGGAAGAUGUAACGGGGCUAAACCAUGCACCGAAGCUGCGGCAGCGAC